GGAACUUCAAGUUUGGAUGCCCAAGGUUAAUCCUACCAAUAAUUUCCCAUUAGAGUGUGUUAUAAGGAGAGUGUUCAGAAGCUCACGAGGGGAUGAAUGUAUGCUGCUUUGCCCUAUUGACACAUUGUGGAUCCAAAAACUGGAGAGGAGAGGCAUGUUACAAUUUAUGUGGAUGAUGGCAUCCGACCAAAUGCAAACAUGACUGAUUUGGUGAAAUUGAAGCCUGCAUUUAAAUCAGAUGGGACAACAACUGCAGGAAAUGCUAGCCAGGUAAGUGAUGGUGCUUGAGUAGUACUCCUGAUGAAGAGAAGUGUAGUUAUUCAGAAGGGACUUCCUAUUAUUGGUGUUUUCAGUGGGAAAGAAAAGCAAAUCACUACACAAUGGAGAAUGUUGGUGUUGUCCGGGCAGAGUAGGCAAAGUAUGUUCUUAAGUUUAAAGAUAGCUAGUGUGUAGGUUAAUUAGUAGUUGGAGAUAUGUAGCAUCAGCUUUUGGACAUGCAUAGUUGAUAUAUAGGCCAGACUUUGACUUAUAGUACUGCUAGCUAUUUUGCUGUGUUGUUUAGCUGGUUGCCCAGAUUGUUAAGUGCUUCUGGUUUAUUAGCUUGCAGUACUGCAUGCAUAUAUUUUGUUGGC